AGCUUUACACAGUAGCAGUAUCGUAGCCAAUGAGGUUUAUCUGAGGCGUGAUUAUUGCUAAUUGAAAACUUUUCCCAAACAAAAUUACAUAUCAACAGGGGUAUAAUUUCA
rnacentral:snRNA from 1 species